UACGGAGGGUGCGAGCGUUGUCCGGAAUCACUGGGCGUAAAGGGCGCGUAGGUGGCCUGUGGAAGUCUGCGGUGAAAGCCCGGCGCUCAACGCCGGGUCGGCCGUGGAUACUCUCGGGCUUGAGCUUACUAGAGGCAGAUGGAAUUCCGGGUGUAGCGGUGGAAUGCGUAGAUAUCAGGAGGAACACCUGCGGUGUAGACGGCUUACUGGACCAUAACUGACGCUGAGGCACGAAAGCGUGGGUAGCAACAGG
rnacentral:rRNA from 1 species